GAUGAAGAACGCAGCGAAAUGCGAUACGUAAUGUGAAUUGCAAAUUCAGUGAAUCAUCGAGUCUUUGAACGCACAUUGCGCCCCCUGGUAUUCCGGGGGGCAUGCCUGUCCGAGCGUCAUUGCUGCCCUCAAGCACGGCUUGUGUGUUGGGCCCCGUCCUCCGAUUCCGGGGGACGGGCCCGAAAGGCAGCGGCGGCACCGCGUCCGGUCCUCGAGCGUAUGGGGCUUUGUCACCCGCUCUGUAGGCCCGGCCGGCGCUUGCCGAUCAACCCAAAUUUUUAUCCAGGUUGACCUCGGAUCAGGUAGGGAUACCCGCUGAACUUAAGCAUCUCAAUAAGCGGAGGA
rnacentral:misc_RNA from 1 species